UGGGGAAUCUUCCGCAAUGGACGAAAGUCUGACGGAGCAACGCCGCGUGAGUGAAGACGGCCUUCGGGUUGUAAAGCUCUGUGAUCCGGGACGAAAGAGCCUGAGGUGAAUAGCCUAAGGAAGUGACGGUACCGGAAAAGCAAGCCACGGCUAACUACGUGCCAGCAGCUGCGGUAAUACGUAGGUGGCAAGCGUUGUCCGGAAUUAUUGGGCGUAAAGCGCGCGCAGGCGGCUUCCUAAGUCCAUCUUAAAAGUGCGGGGCUUAACCCCGUGAUGGGAUGGAAACUGGGAAGCUGGAGUAUCGGAGAGGAAAGUGGAAUUCCUAGUGUAGCGGUGAAAUGCGUAGAGAUUAGGAAGAACACCGGUGGCGAAGGCGACUUUCAGGACGAAAACUGACGCUGAGGCGCGAAAGCGUGGGGAGCAAACAGG
rnacentral:rRNA from 1 species